UAAAAUUCUUCCAUUGUUCCA
ensembl:piRNA 21ur-3810 ncRNA